rnacentral:lncRNA from 1 species
UUUUUUUAGGUGAGGAAGUAGCAGAUUUCUGUUGCUUCUGUGCCAAGGUGGUUCCUAAGGAGGAGAAACAAGAGUGAAGAUGCAGGAGGACUUGGUCCUCCAUAUAGAACUUUUUCUUAAAACUUAUCGGGAGGAGUUUGUGCCUCCCUUGGUAUGUGUAAUAAUACUACUCAGCACUCGCUUUUAAUUCUGGUCUGUAAUAAACAACUCAAUCUUACUUUUUAAAUAAAUGUAAGUUAUGUAAUCGCUUCCGCAUUUCUUUAUCUCCGAUGUUCUGUAAUGUCUGCAAGACGGGUGAGACGUUCCUGGAAAGGUAAGGAAAGAUACCGAACUUGUCAAGUAGUUCAGGGGCACCUACAGGGUUGUCUGAGGUCCGUUGGACAAGGACAACUGUAGGUGGGCCUAAUUACUUGGGAGGUUCCAUCUCACUUCACACCUUCGGGAAUUCUCAGAGGCGCUUCGCUAUAAUUUACCGGACUGUCCAGUGCACCACCGGACAGUGUCCGGUGCUCCAGGGGAGAGCGACUCUGAACUCGCCAGCUUCGGAUUUCCGCUCCGCUAUAAUUCACCGGACAUGUCCGGUAAGCCAGCGGAGCAACGACUAUUCCGCGCCAACGGUCACCUGCUACAGCAUUAAAUGCGCGCCAGCGCGCGCAGAGGAGCAGAGCACGAGCGGGUGGCACACCGGACAGCCUACAGGGCGUGUCCGGUGCACCACCGGACAGCCAGGCGGGCCCACUCGUCAGAGCUCCAACGGUCGAACCCUAACGGCCGGGUGACGUGGCUGGCGCACCGGACACUGUCCGGUGCGCCCGUCGACAGUAGCCUUCACCAAACGGCUAGUUUGGUGGUUGGGGUUAUAAAUACCCCCAACCACCCCACAUUCAAGUCAUCCAAGUUUCCACCCUUCAACUACUUGCAAGAGCUCUAGCAUUCAAUACAAGACACACCAAAGAGAUCAAAUCCUCUCCCAACUCCACACAAAGCGUUAGUGAUUAGAGAGAGUGAUUUGUCGUGUUCAUUUGAGCUCUUGCGCUUGGAUCGCUUCUUUUCUUUCUCAUUCUUUCUUGAGAUCAAACUCACUUGUAAUUGAGGCAAGAGACACCAAUUGUGUGGUGGUCCUUGCGGGAACUUCGUGUUACCAUUUGUUUGAGAAGAAGAAGCUCACUCGGUCCGAGGGACCGUUUGAGAGAGGGAAAGGGUUGAAAGAGACCCAGUCUUUGUGACCACCUCAACGGGGAGUAGGUUUGCAAGAACUGAACCUCGGUAAAACAAAUUCGUGUGUCACACUCUUUAUUCGCUUGCGAUUUGUUUUGCGCCCUCUCUCGGACUCAUUAUUAUUUCUAACGCUAACCCGGCUUGUAGUUGUGAUUAACUUUGUAAAUUUUAGUUUCGCCCUAUUCACCCCCCUUUAGGCGACUUUCAAUUGGUAUCGGAGCCCGGUGCUUCAUUAGAGCCUAACCGCUCGAAGUGAUGUCGGGAGAUCACACCAAGAGGGAGAUGGAGACCGGCGACAAGCCCACCGGCGACAAGCCCACUACAAGCCACGGGAAGGCUUCAUCGGAAGAGUCCCGCAACAAAGGGAAAGGGAAGGAGAAGAAAUCCUCUUCCCACAAGACGCAUCGGAGUGGCGACAAGAAAAAGAAGAUGAGGAAGGUGGUCUACUACGAGACUGAUACUUCAUCACCUUCCACCUCCGGCUCCGACGCGCCGUCCAUUACUUCUAAGCGCCAUGAGCGCAAGAAGUUUAGUAAGAUCCCCUUACGCUAUCCUCGCAUUACCAAACAUACGCCUUUACUUUCCGUCUCAUUAGGCAAACCACCAACGUUUGAUGAUGAAUAUUAUGCUAGGUGGAGUGAUUUAAUGCGAUUUCACCUAAUCUCACUCCACAAAAGUAUAUGGGACGUUGUUGAGUUUGGUGUACAGGUACCAUCCGUAGGGGAUGAAGAUUAUGAUGAGGACGAUGUGGCCCAAAUCCAACACUUCAACUCCCAAGCCUCAACUAUACUCCUCGCCUCUCUAAGUCGAGAGGAGUAUAAUAAGGUGCAAGGGUUGAAAGGUGCCAAGGAGAUUUGGGACACGCUAAAGACCGCGCACGAAGGAGACGAGGUGACCAAGAUCACCAAGCGGGAGAUGAUCGAGGGGGAGCUCGGUCGCUUCCGACUACGCCAAGGGGAGGAGCCAUAAGACAUGUACAACCGGCUCAAAACCUUGGUGAACCAAGUGCGCAACCUCGGGAGCAAAAAAUGGGAUGACCACGAAAUGGUUAAGGUUAUUCUAAGAUCACUUGUUUUCCUUAACCCUACUCAAGUUCAAUUAAUUCAUGGUAAUCCUAGAUAUACACUAAUGACCCACGAGGAAGUAAUCGGGAACUUUGUGAGCUUUGAAUUAAUGAUCAAAGGCUCAAAGAAGAUCAACGAGCUUGAUGGCCCCUCCACUUCCGAAGCACAACCAGUCGCAUUCAAGGCGACGGAAGAAAAGAAGGAGGAACCUACUCCAAGUCGAACUCCCAUCGAUGCCUCCAAGCUCGACAAUGAGGAGAUGGCGCUCAUCAUCAAGAGCUUCCGUCAAAUCCUAAAGCAAAGGAGGGGGAAGGAUUACAAGCCCCGCUCCAAGAAGGUUUGCUACAAGUGUGGUAAGCCCAGUCAUUUUAUUGCAAAAUGUCCUAUUUCUAGUGAUAGUGACAGGGGCGACGACAAGAAGGGGAGAAGAAAGGAGAAGAAGUAUUACAAGAAGAAGGGCGGCGAUGCCCAUGUUUGCCGGGAGUGGGACUCCGACGAGAGCUCCACCGACUCCUCCUCCGACGAGGACGCCGCCAACAUCGCCGUCACCAAGGGACUUCUCUUCCCCAACGUCGACCACAAGUGCCUCAUGGCAAAGGACGACAAAAAGAAAAAGGUAAAAUCAAGAUCCUCCACUAAAUAUGAAAUCUCUAGUGAUGAGGAUGAUGCUAGCAAUGAGGAGGAUAACUUGCGCAUUCUUUUUGCUAACCUAAACAUGCAACAAAAAGAAAAAUUAAAUGAAUUGAUAAGUGCUAUUCAUGAGAAGGAUGAUCUCUUGGACUCUCAAGAGGACUUCCUUAUUAAAGAAAACAAGAAGCAUGUUAAGGUUAAAAAUGCUUAUACACUAGAAGUAGAAAAAUGUGAAAAAUUAUCUAGUGAACUAAGCACUUGCCAUGAGACUAUUGACAACCUUAGAAAUGAGAAUGCUAAUUUGUUAGCUAAGGUUGAUUCAAAUGUUUGUGAUGUUUCAAUUCCCAAUCCUAGAAAUGAUAAUAUAGAUUUGCUUGCUAAGAUUGAAGAAUUGAACAUUUCUCUUGCUAGCCUUAGAAAUGAAAAUGAAAACUUGAUUGCUAAGGCUAAGGAUUUAGAUGUUUGCAAUGUCACUAUUUCUAACCUUAGAAGUGAAAAUGAUAUAUUACAUGCUAAGGUUGUAGAACUAAAAUCUUGCAAACCCUCUACAUCUACCGUUGAACAUACUUCUAUUUGCACUAGAUGUAGAGAUGUUGAUAUUGAUGCUAUUCAUGAUCAUAUGACUUUAAUUAAACAACAAAAUGAUCAUAUAGAAAAUUAGAUGCUAAAAUUGCCGAGCAUGAACUUGAAAAUGAAAAGUUUAAAUUUGCUCGUAGUAUGCUUUAUAGUGGGAGACGCCCUGGCAUCAAGGAUGGCGUUGGCUUCCAAAAGGGGGACAAUGUCAAACUUAAUGCCCCUCCUAAAAGAUUGUCUAAUUUUGUUAAGGGCAAGGCUCCCAUGCCUCAGGAUAACGAGGGUUACAUUUUGUACCCUGCCGGUUAUCCCGAGAGCAAGAUUAGGAGAAUUCAUUCUAGGAAGUCUCACUCUGGCCCUAACCAUGCUUUUAUGUAUAAAGGUGAGACAUCUAGUUCUAGGCAACCAACCCAUGCUAAGUUGCCUAAGAAGAAAACUCCUAGUGCAUCAAAUGAUGAUGACAUUUCAUUUAAAACCUUUGAUGCAUCUUAUGUUUUAACUAACAAAUCCGGCAAGGUAGUUGCCAAGUAUGUUGGGGGCAAGCACAAGGGGUCAAAGACUUGUGUUUGGGUACCCAAAGUUCUUGUGUCUAAUGCCAAAGGACCCAAAACCAUUUGGGUACCUAAAGUCAAGAACUAAACUUGUUUUGUAGGUUUAUGCAUCCGGGGGCUCAAGUUGGAUCAUCGACAGUGGGUGCACAAACCACAUGACAGGGGAGAAGAAGAUGUUCUCCUCCUAUGAGAAAAACCAAGAUCCCCAACGAGCUAUCACAUUCGGGGAUGGAAAUCAAGGGUUGGUCAAAGGUUUGGGUAAAAUUGCUAUAUCACCUGACCAUUCCAUUUCUAAUGUUUUUCUUGUGGAUUCUUUAGAUUAUAAUUUGCUUUCCGUAUCUCAAUUAUGUCAAAUGGGCUACAACUGUCUUUUUACUGAUGUAGGUGUCACUGUCUUUAGAAGAAGUGAUGAUUCAAUAGCAUUUAAGGGAGUGUUAGAGGGUCAGCUAUACUUGGUAGAUUUUGAUAGAGCUGAACUCGACACUUGCUUAAUUGCUAAGACUAACAUGGGUUGGCUCUGGCACCGCCGACUAGCCCAUGUUGGGAUGAAGAAUCUUCACAAGCUUCUAAAGGGAGAGCACAUUUUAGGAUUAACAAAUGUUCAUUUUGAGAAAGACAGGAUUUGUAGCGCAUGCCAAGCAGGGAAGCAAGUUGGUACUCAUCAUCCACAUAAGAACAUCAUGACGACCGACAGGCCACUGGAACUCCUACACAUGGAUUUAUUCGGCCCGAUCGCUUACAUAAGCAUCGGAGGGAGUAAGUAUUGUCUAGUUAUUGUGGAUGACUAUUCUCGCUUCACUUGGGUGUUCUUUUUGCAGGAAAAAUCUCAUACCCAAGAGACUUUAAAAGGAUUCUUGAGACGGGCUCAAAAUGAGUUCGGCUUAAUGAUCAAGAAAAUUAGAAGCGACAACGGGACGGAGUUCAAAAACUCUCAAUUGAAGGCUUACUUGAGGAGGAGGGCAUCAAGCAUGAGUUCUCUUCUCCCUACACCCCACAACAAAAUGGUGUAGUGGAGAGGAAGAAUAGAACUCUAUUGGACAUGGCAAGAACCAUGCUUGAUGAGUACAAGACUUCGGAUCGGUUUUGGGCCGAAGCGGUCAACACCGCCUGCUACGCCAUCAACCGGUUGUAUCUACACCGAAUCCUCAAGAAGACAUCAUACGAACUCAUAACCGGUAAAAAGCCCAAUAUUUCAUAUUUUAGAGUCUUUGGUAGCAAAUGCUUUAUUCUUGUUAAAAGAGGUAGAAAAUCUAAAUUUGCUCCUAAGACUGUAGAAGGCUUUUUACUAGGAUAUGAUUCAAACACAAGGGCAUAUAGAGUCUUUAACAAGUCCUCGGGACUAGUUGAAGUUUCUUGUGACGUUGUGUUUGAUGAAACUAAUGGCUCUCAAGUAGAGCAAGUUGAUCUUGAUGAGAUAGGUGAUGAAGAGGCUCCAUGCAUCGCGCUAAGGAACAUGUCCAUUGGGGAUGUGUGUCCUAAGGAAUCCGAAGAGCCUCCUAAUGCACAAGAUCAAUCAUCCUCCUCCACGCUAGCAUCUCCACCAACUCAAAAUGAGGAUGAGGCUCAAGAUGAUGAAGGAAAAGAUCAAAGAGAUGAGCCACCUCAAGAUGACGGCAAUCAUCAAGGGGGAGAUGCAAAGGAUCAAGACAAGGAGGAUGAAGAACCAAGGCCGCCACACCUAAGAGUCUACCAAGCAAUCUAACGAGAUCACCCCGUCGACACCAUCCUCGGCGACAUUCAUAAGGGGGUAACCACUAGAUCUCGUGUUGCUCAUUUUUGUGAACAUUACUCUUUUGUUUCCUCUAUUGAGCCACACAGGGUAGAGGAAGCACUACAAGAUUCGGAUUGGGUGGUGGCGAUGCAAGAGGAGCUCAACAACUUCACUAGGAACGAGGUAUGACAUUUAGUUCCACGUCCUAAUCAAAAUGUUGUAGGAACCAAAUGGGUCUUCCGCAAUAAGCAAGACGAGAAUGGUGUGGUGACAAGGAACAAAGCCCGACUUGUGGCCAAGGGAUACUCCCAAGUCGAAGGUUUGGAUUUCGGUGAAACCUAUGCACCCGUAGCUAGGCUUGAGUCAAUUCGUAUAUUGUUAACCUAUGCUACUUACCAUGGCUUUAAGCUUUAUCAAAUGGACGUGAAAAGUGCCUUCCUCAAUGGACCAAUUAAGGAAGAGGUCUAUGUUGAGCAACCUCCCGGCUUUGAAGAUAGUAAGUAUCCUAACCAUGUCUACAAACUCUCUAAGGCGCUUUAUGGGCUCAAGCAAGCCCCAAGAGCAUGGUAUGAAUGCCUAAGAGAUUUCCUUAUUGCUAAUGGCUUCAAAGUCGGAAAAGUCGAUCCUACUUUAUUUACUAAAACUCUUGACAAUGAUUUGUUUGUAUGCCAAAUUUAUGUUGACGAUAUUAUAUUUGGGUCUACUAACGAAUCUACAUGUGAAGAAUUUAGUAGGAUCAUGACACAAAAAUUCGAGAUGUCUAUGAUGGGGGAGUUGAAGUAUUUCUUAGGAUUUCAAGUGAGACAACUCCAAGAGGGCACCUUCAUAAGCCAAACAAAGUAUACUCAAGACAUUCUAAACAAGUUUGGGAUGAAGGAUGCCAAGCCCAUCAAGACACCCAUGGGAACAAAUGGGCAUCUCGACCUCGACACGGAAGGUAAACCCGUAGAUCAAAAGGUAUACCGGUCGAUGAUAGGUUCACUACUCUAUUUAUGUGCAUCUCGACCGGACAUUAUGCUUUCCGUAUGCAUGUGUGCAAGAUUCCAAGCCGACCCUAAGGAAGCUCACCUUACGGCCGUAAAACGAAUCUUGAGAUAUUUGGCUUAUACUCCUAAGUUUGGGCUUUGGUAUCCUAGGGGAUCCACUUUUGAUUUAAUUGGUUAUUCGGAUGCCGAUUGGGCGGGUUGUAAGAUUAAUAGAAAGAGCACAUCGGGGACUUGCCAGUUCUUGGGAAGAUCCUUGGUGUCUUGGGCUUUAAAGAAGCAAAAUUUUGUAGCUCUUUCUACCGCCGAAGCCGAGUAUAUUGCCGCAGGCCAUUGUUGCGCGCAACUACUUUGGAUGAGGCAAACCCUUAGGGACUACGGUUACAAAUUAACCAAAGUUCCUCUUCUAUGUGAUAAUGAGAGUGCAAUCCGCAUGGCGGAUAAUCCCGUAGAGCAUAGCCGCACUAAACACAUAGCUAUUCGGUAUCAUUUUCUAAGGGAUCACCAACAAAAGGGAGAUAUCGAGAUUGCUUACAUUAACACUAAAGAUCAAUUAGCCGAUAUCUUUACCAAGCCACUAGAUGAACAAACCUUUAACAAACUUAGGCAUGAGCUAAAUAUUCUUGAUUCUAGGAUUUUCUUUUGAUGUCUUGCAUACAUAGCUCAUAAAUAUACCUUUGAUCAUAUCUCUUUUAUAUGCUAUGACUAAUGUGUUUUCAAGUAUACUUCAAACCAAGUCAUAGGUGUAUUAAAAGGGAAUUGGAGUCUUCGGCGAAGACAAAGGCUUCCACUCCACUCCAUAACUCAUCCUUCGCUGUCGCUCCGAGCAUCUCUCCAACUUUGGUAUAAUCUUCACUCAUAUUUUGUUUGCCAAAGGGGGAGAAAGUAAUUCAAAGGGCUCUAAUGACUCUGUUUUUGGCAAUUUAUGCCAAAGGGGGAGAGAGUAUUAGCCCACAGCAAAAGGACCGCACCACCACCCUAAUUUUAAAAAUUAAUGAUUUUCAAUUGGUAAAUUUCAAAUUGGUAUCUUAUUAUGUUCAAAAGGGGGAGAAAGUAGUAUUUUCAAAAUUGAUAUCUUAAAACCCUCUUGAACACUAAGAGGAGAAUUUCAUUGAGAGGGAGUUUUGUUUAAGUCAAAGGAAAAGCAUUUGAAACAGGGGGAGAAAAUUUCAAAUCUUGAAAAUGCUUCGCAAAAUCUAAUUCAUUUACCUUUGACUAUUUGCAUAAGGACUUUAAAAAGGAUUUACAAAAGGAAUUUGCAAAAAAAACCUGUGGUGCAAGCGUGGUCCAAAAUGUUAAAAAUAAAGAAACAAUCCAUGCAUAUCUUAUGAGUAGUUAUAUUGGCUCAAUUCUAAGUAACCUUUGCACUUACAAUUAUGCGAACUAGUUCAAUUAUGCACUUCUAUAUUUGCUUUGGUUUGUGUUGGCAUCAAUCACCAAAAAGGGGGAGAUUGAAAGGGAAUUAGGCUUACACCUAUUUCCUAAAUGAUUUUGGUGGUUGAAUUGCCCAACACAAAUAAUUGGACUAACUAGUUUGCUCUAGUCCAUAAGUUCUACAGGUGCCAAAGGUUCACAAAAAGCCAAUAAAAAGACCAAGAAAAGGGUUCAAUAAAAAGAGCAAGGAAUAACCGAAGUGUACCCUGGUCUGGCACACCGGACUGUCCGGUGUGCCACCGGACAGUGUCCGGUGCACCAGGGGUGUCGGCGUUUCGAGACCGGGGGGGUCCCUGGGCCGACGAGUGAAAUGUCGCCGCGUGCCCCAGCCCAGAUGGGUCGGCGCGAGGCCGAACGCGAAGGGGGAAGAGAGGCAGCCGGAGACGGGCGUGAGAGAGGUGGAAAUCCCGCGGCCUUCGUGUUUGUCCCGCGCCCAGGUCGGGUGCGCUUGCAGUAGGGGGUUACAAGCGUCCACGCGGGAGGGGGAGCGAGCGGCCUCACGCGAGCGCCUGUCCCGUCCUCUUCCCUGCGCGGCCGACCCUCUGUAAGAGGGCCCUGGUCCUUCCUUUUAUAGGCGUAAGGAGAGGAUCCAGGUGUACAAUGGGGGGUGUAGCAGAGUGCUACGUGUCUAGCGGAGGAGAGCUAGCGCCCUAAGUACAUGUCGUCAUGGCAGCUGGAGAGGUUUUGGCACCCGGUUCGUGUGGUGUCGUGGCCGUCGGAGGAGCGCUGGAGCCUGGCGGAAGGACAGCUGUCGGGGCUGUCGAGUCCUUGCUGACGUCCUCUUGCUUCCGUAAGGGGGCUGAGAGUCGCCGUCGUCACAGAGCGUGCGGGGCGCCAUCAUUGCCUAUCUGGCGGAGCGAGCCAGAUGGGACACCGGUCUUGUUCCCCGUAGCCUGAGUCAGCUUGGGGUAGGGUAAUGAUGGCGCCUCCUGUCGACGUGGUCGGUCCGCGCCCUAGGUUGGGCAAUGUGGAGGCUCCUCCGAGGUCGAGGUCGAGUCUGUCUUCUGUGGCCGUGGUCGAGUCCGAGCCCCUGGGUCGGGCGAGGCGAAGACCGUCGGCUGAGGCCAGGGCUGAGUCCGAGCCCUGGGGUCGGGCGAAGCGGAGUUCGUCAUCUUCUGGGGCUGAGCCCAAGUCCGAGCCCUGGGUCGGGCGGAGCGGAGUUCGUCGUCUUCCGGGGCUGAGCCCGAGUUCGAGCCCUGGGUUGGGCGGAGCGGAGUUCGCCGUCUUCCGGGGCUGAGCCCGAGUCCGAGCCCUGGGUCGGGCGGAGCGGAGUUCGCCGUCUUCCGGGGCUGAGCCCGAGUCCGAGCCCUGGGUCGGGCGGAGCGGAGUUCGUCGUCUUCUGGGGCUGAGCCCGAGUCCGAGCCCUAGGUCGAGCGAAGCGGAGCUUCCUAUGGUGCCUGAGGUCGGGCCUGACUGCCUGUCAGCCUCACUCUGUCGAGCAGCACAGCAGUCGGAGCGGUGCAGGCGGCGCUGUCCUUCUGUCAGGCCGGUCAGUGGAGCGGCAAAGUGACUGCGGUCACUUCGGCUCUGUCGAAUGGAGGACGCGUGUCAGGAUAAAGGUGUUAGGCCACCUUUGCAUUAAAUGCUCCUGCGAUCUGGUCGGUUGGCGCGGCGAUUUGGUCAGGGUUGCUUCUUGGCGAAGACAGGGCCUCGGGCGAGCCGUAAGUAUGUUCGUCGCUGGAGGGGGGCCUCGGGCGAGACGGAGAUCCUCCGGGGUCGGCUGCCCUUGUCCGAGGCUAGGCUCGGGCGAGGCGUGAUCGGGUCCCUCGAAUGGACCGAUUCCUGACUUAAUCGCACCCAUCAGGCCUUUGCAGCUUUAUGCUGAUGGGGGUUGCCAGCUGAGAAUUAGGAGACUUGAGGGUACCCCUAAUUAUGGUCCCCGACAGUAGCCCCCGAGCCUCGAAGGGAGUGUUAGCACUCGCUUGGAGGCUUUCGUCGCACUUUUUUGCAAGGGGACCAGCCUUUCUCGGUUGCGUUUUGUUCCGGUGGGUGCCCCCGAGGCCUCGGAGGAGUGGUUUGACUCCUCUGAGGUCUUAAUGCCUCGCGUAGUGCUUCGGCUGGUCUGGUCAUUCCCUCAUGCGAGCUGGCCGUAGCCCGGGUGCACGGUCAGGUUCCAAGUUCUCGGGCUGGUAUGUUGACGCUGUCAACGGUUUGGCCGGAGCCGGGUUUGCGAGAGCAGCCCCUGAGCCUCUGCACAGGGCGAGAGGACGAUCAGGGACAGACUCGACUUUUUUACAUACGCCCCUGCGUCACCUUUCUGCAAGGAGGAGGGGGGGGAAAGCGCCAUGUUGCCCAAGGUGGGCACCGAACAUGGUGUCUCCGAUGAGCUGCUGGCGGGUAAUCCGAGCGGACGUCCGUGCCGCAUUUGUUAGGGGUCGGCUAGAGGCCCAGAGGCGCGCCCAAAAGUACCUACGGGUGAUCUGCCGGACCCGGUCCCCUGUCGACGGGGUCCGAGGGCUCGAUGCCUCCCUCUGAUGGGAUUCCGUUACAAGAUCGUUCCCGCUGGUCUCGGAAAUGUCCUAGGGUACCUCGGGAGCGUAGCCCGAGCCUUGGUUAUGUAUCGAACGUACCCAUGGUCAUCCCUCGCUCUGUGUCUGAGGCGGCUGUGAACCCUUCGAGGGCCAGCCUACGAACCCCUGAUCAGUAGUGGGCGCGGAGCCCGAGUGGCCUGAGGCAGCCAUUGAACCCUUCCGAGGGGCCGGCCUUCGAACCUCUGACCAGUAGUGGGUGUGGAGCCCACGUGCUCUGAGGCGGCUGUUGAACCCCUCCGAGGGGCCAGCCUUCGAACCUCUGAUCAGUAGGGAGGCUCGGAGCCUGUUUCCUUCACGGAGAAGGGUCCUUUUCGGGGUAUCCCCCUUUCCCAGUCCCUGUUGUAAGAGAGAGAAAGAGGAAAAGGAAAAGGACACGAAAUCGAAUGACACGACGUACCUUUUUUCAACGCGGACAUUAUGGUGAAGGCGAAGCGUCGCUCGCUUCCCCUGCCAGAGACGCCGCCUGUCCCGCCGCGGAGUUAAUGCGACGGGGCGAGUGGUUCGCGGGGCGGCCGUUGCGCAUGCGCGAGCCGUUCGAGGAACAGAACACGGGCGCGUCGUCUUCACACCGUGAGAGAGGGCUCUCUCACUGCCCCAGGAUGGGACGUAAGCUUGGCUGACGACGUGACCGCCGCUCCCGCCCGCCUGCCACCGCCAUCACUGUCGGCCCGUUUUUGGCCGCAUUGACCGUCGCGCCUGGCUGGCACUGCUGGGUCGUACGCAGGGUUGCCUCGAGUCGCGGUACUGGUUGCGCAGUCGAGGAGGCGUGGCAGUGGUGCGAGUGGCGGUGCAGUUGCUUGCACGUAGCGACUGGCGCGCCGGUUGCAUGACGCGUGGGCGCGGGCUUCCAUGCUGGGUGCGUUGGAAGUCGGAGAGGUGCGCCCACUUGGCGCGGUUGCAUGCCGCCUGCAUGGCUGCCCGCCCUUUCGCCCGCUGGUCUGGGCAAAAGUGGAGAACUGCUUGUAACCGCUGGGCGGUUGCAUGCACCGCGCGCGGCGGUUUGGCUUCUUCUGCCCUAAGCCGGCUUGCAUGACGUGUGGGACCCAGCCCCCGCGCCGUAGGGGGAGGACCUUGGAGCGUGUUGGAGAAGACUCAGCCCACGACAGCUGGGGACGCAAGUAGAGAGAGUCGCCUUUAAAAGGAGGGUGACCCCCUUGAAAGGCGACCAUGUCUUCGCGCUCCCUUAUGCAUCGUGUCUUUCCACCUUCCAAGCCCCCGGAUGGGGGAUGCCCGCAGUCCUUUCGCCUUGUCGUUGGAGGAACGCAACUCCGUGGGAGUCGGUACCUUUCAGCCAUCGUUCGGCUUCAAGGAUUUUCAUCAUGCAGCCCGGCUGCACCCCUCCGCCGGCGGUCACCCAAGACGGUGACCUCCAGCCCCUGGAUGGGGAGAAGCAAGCCAGGUUGUGAUCUCGGUUCCGCCCUCAGCUUCAAGGAUGUUCAUCAUCAUUGCUGGGGCGGAGAGCGAGGCGAGCCGGGGCUCUACCUCCUGCGCGGGUCGGCUGGCCACCUCCUCUUCCAGCUUCUGGUGGUGGAAACCAUCCUCCAGCUCUGCAGAGGAGGCGUCCUCCAGCCAUGCCGGGGAAGGCGAACUGUUGCUGCCCAGCUAGGAUGCAACAUUCCGCCCUCUUCCUCGCUUUCGUGGCGAGGACGGGAGCGAGGACCUGCCGGUGCGCUUUGGAGCGGCCCGCUCUUUGGCUUUGAUGGCUGGUUCGCGUCCCUUGGGCGGGAAUGCGAACGAGAGCCUUAUGGUGGCCACAUCCGUCCUAGGACCAUGGCUGCUGCUGCAAAGGUCGCUGGCGAGCCGCCCGGAACUCGUCGCCCCGCAGGCUCCCCGGUGUGGAGGUUGUUCAUACCCGCGGGGACGGAACCGGAGUUCCGUUUGUAAUGGCACUUUGAAUGCCGGUGUUUUUGUUCAUUGUGGCGGUCGAGGCUUGAACAUGUAUGUAUUUUUGGCGCGGAGCCGUGUUUUUUCCUCAUUUUCGAGCACUAAGACUCGCCUGCUCGUUGUCCGAACCGCUUCACCAAGAGUGAGUCGCCCCGUGCAAAGGUGACGAGUGAGGUAUCCGUAUCCCGGAGGCGUAGGAGUCCCUCGGCUCGGUCGACCUUGCUGCCCGAGGCUUCUCUUGCUUAGUUAAAGGAACCCCUCGGCCGCUCUUCGAUGAGCCGAAGCCAGGGGUAGCGGUGUCAGCACGGACAGAGGCAGAGUUGGCUCGAAAAGAAGACUUGGUCGGCCGGAGCCUGGCCGGGUCAUCCAUUAGCGGGACCGACGCCGGAGUUGAUCUGCCGAGGCCUCGGGCCAGGCUGACGUUUUCGGGGGACAGCUGGCCGAGGCCUCGGGGUGACCAGCCGAGCCACCUGCUCGAGCCGGAUUCUUGGAGGAGACCCGGGCGGCGAUGGCCCGGGCGUGAUGAUGAAGUCGUCCUUCAGAGUGGAGACCCUCGGACCGUGUCGCCGUCGGAGGCUAGGUCGGACCUCGCCGAAGGUGUAGUUGACGCCGAGGGUGCUGCCGCUCCCUUCAACCGUCAAGAUCCGAGCCUGCAGGAUCGGAUUAUCUUGUAGUGUGUGUUUUCCGCGGCCGCCGAGGCCCAAACACACCCUCGCCGUGUUGUAAAGCUGCGUUUCUUUUCCUCUUGUUUCGAGUAUCUGGACUUUUUCGUCGGUAACAGAAUUGUCUGUGCGAGCGAGAGUUGCUUCUCACGGAAGGUGAUGAGUGAGGUAUUCGUAUCCCGGAGACGUAGGAAUCCCUCGGCUCGGUCGGCCUUGCCGCUUACGCGCACUCUUACCCGUCCAUAGGGUUCUGUCACCGACGCAGUGGAGAAGGCUCGAAGAAUCGCUUCGGCAGAGGAGCUUUCGAACGUGAAGACUUGUUCGGUCCGCGGAAUCACUUAUCCGAACGUGAGUUACUUAUCACAGAAGGUGAUGAGUGAGGUAUCCGUAUCCCGGAGGCGUAGGAGUCCCUCGGCUCGGUCAGCCUUGGCUGCUUACGUGUACUCCGUCGUUUUCAGGAUCCACUUUCGAAGUAGUCGAAAAGCACGAAAGACAUUCUGGCAGAAAGGAUCUUUUUUCGAGGAAAAUUUCGACGCAGAGGGGGUUCCCCCCUUUUAGCCCCCGAGGGAGGGUCGGGCUUUGCCGAGGCAAGGCUGACCCUUCCUUGAUGACUAAACUUUGCGUGGAAGCGAGGUAUAUGAACAACUUGAAAACAUCUUAAGGGUAGAAGCGACGUAGCUGUUGGAUGUUCCAAGCGUUGCUGUAGACCUCGCCUUGACUGUUGGCCAGCUUGUACGUUCUGGGCUUCAGAACUUUGGCAAUGACGAACGGCCCUUCCCAGGGAGGCGUGAGCUUGUGCCGCCCUCGGGCGUCCUGUCGUAGCCGAAGCACCAGGUCGCCCACCUGGAGGUCUCGGGACCGAACCCCUCGGGCGUGGUAGCGUCGCAGGGACUGCUGGUACAGCGCCGAGUGUAGUAAGGCCUUGUCCCGAGCCUCUUCCAGCUGGUCCAGCGAGUCUUCUCGACUAGCUUGGUUGCUUUGAUCAGCAUAGGCCCUCAUCCUCGGGGAACCGUAUUCUAAGUCUGUGGGCAGGAUGGCCUCGCCCCCAUAGACUAGAAAGAACGGCGUGAAGCUCGUGGCUCGGCUCGGUGUUGUCCUCAGGCUCCAGACCACCGAGGGGAGUUCCUUCAUCCAUCGCUUGCCGAACUUGUUGAGGUCGUUGUAGAUCCGAGGCUUGAGUCCUUGUAGAAUCAUGCCGUUGGCACGCUCUACUUGCCCAUUCGUCAUGGGGUGAGCCACGGUGGCCCAGUCCACCCGGAUGUGGUGAUCCUCGCAGAAGUCCAGGAACUUUCUGCCGGUGAACUGGGUGCCAUUGUCGGUGAUGAUGGAGUUUGGGACCCCGAAGCGAUGGAUGGUGUUGGUGAAGAACACCACCGCCUGCUCGGACCUGAUGUUGUUUAGGGGUCGGACCUCGAUCCACUUGGAGAAUUUGUCGAUGGCGACCAACAGGUGCGUGUAGCCCCCGGGUGCCUUCUGCAAGGGGCCGACGAGGUCCAGACCCCACACAGCAAAAGGCCAGGUGAUGGGUAUGGUCUGCAGGGCCUGAGCAGGCAGGUGGGUCUGCCUUGCGUAGAACUGACACCCUUCGCAGGUGCGGACGAUUCUAGUGGCGUCGGCCACCACCGUCGGCCAGUAGAAACCUUGCCGGAAGGCGUUUCCGACAAGGGCUCGAGGUGCUGCAUGGUGGCCGCAAGCCCCCGAGUGUAUCUCUCGUAGGAGUUCCUGACCUUCGGCGAUGGAAAUGCAUCGCUGGAGGAUGCCCGAGGGGCUGCGGUGGUAGAGCUCCUUCUCAUCUCCCAGCAAGACGAACGACUUAGCGCGUCGCGCCAACCGCCGAGCCUCGGCUCGGUCGAGGGGUAGCUCUCCUCGGUAGAGAUAUUUCAGGUACGGGGUCUGCCAGUUUUGAUUAGGCGUGAUCCCGCUUCGCUCCUCCUCGACGCGCAGUGUCUCGCCCUCGGGGGUCGAGGGUACCUCGGGCCGAGCCGAGGGUGCCUCGGGCUUGGGCGUGUCGUCGAUCUUGACGGAGGGUUGAUGCAGGUCUCGAGAGAAGACGUCCGGGGGAACCGUUGUUCGCCCCGAGGCUAUUUUAGCCAGCUCGUCCGCAGUCUCGUUGUAGCGCCGGGCGAUGUGGUUGAGCUCGAGCCCGUAGAACUUGUCUUCCAGGCGCCGAACCUCAUCGCAAUAGGCCUCCAUCUUCGGGUUGCGGCAGUGGGAGUUCUUCAUGACUUGGUCGAUGAUGAGCUGCGAGUCACCGCGAGCGUCGAGGCGUCGGACCCCUAACUCGAUGGCGAUGCGCAACCCGUUGACCAGGGCCUCGUACUCAGCCACAUUGUUGGACGCCGGGAAGUGGUGGCGUAGCACGUAGCGUAGAUGCUUUCUGAGGGGCGAGAUGAAGAGCAGGCCUGCGCCCGCUCCUGUCUUCAUCAGUGACCCGUCGAAGAACAUGGUCCAUAGUUCCGGCUGGAUCGGAUCUGUUGGGAGCUGGGUGUCGACCCAUUCAGCCACGAAGUCCGCCAAGACCUGGGACUUGAUGGCCUUACGAGGGGCAAACGAUAUUGUUUCGCCCAUAAUUUCCACCGCCCACUUUGCAAUCCUACCCGAGGCCUCUCGGCACUAGAUGAUCUCCCUCAGGGGGAAGGAUGACACCACAGUUACCGGAUGAGACUCGAAGUAGUGUCGCAACUUCCGCCGCGUCAGGAUCACCGCGUACAGCAGCUUCUGAACUUGUGGGUAGCGGAUCUUGGUUUCGGACAGUGCCUCACUGAUGAAGUAGACUAGCCUCUGAAUGGGCAAUGCAAGCCCCUCUUCUCGUCUCUCGACCACAAUCGCGGCGCUAACCACCUGAGUGGUCGCGGCGACGUAGAUCAAGAGGGCUUCUUCGGCAGCGGGGGGCACCAAGAUGGGCGCGUUCGUGAGGAGCGCCUUCAGGUUCCCGAGGGCUUCCUCGGCCUCAGGGGUCCAAGUGAAGCACUCGGCCUUCCUUAAGAGGCGGAACAGAGGCAGGCCUCUUUCGCCGAGGCGCGAGAUGAAGCGGCUUAGAGCCGCAAGACAUCCCAGGACUCUUUGUACGCCUUUCAAGUCCUUGAUGGGCCCCAUGCUGGUGAUGGCUACGAUCUUCUCCGGGUUGGCUUCGAUGCCCCGCUCGGAGACGAUGAACCCCAAGAGCAUGCCUCGGGGCACCCCGAAGACACACUUUUCGGGAUUGAGCUUCACGCCUUUCGCCUUGAGACAUCGGAAUGUCACUUCAAGGUCGGAAAGGAGGUCGGAGGCUUUCCUCGUCUUGACUACGAUGUCAUCGACGUAGGCCUCGACCGUCCGGCCAAUGUGUUCGCUGAACACAUGGUUCAUGCACCGCUGGUACGUCGCGCCCGCAUUCCUCAAGCCGAACGGCAUGGUGACAUAGCAGUACAUGACGAAGGGUGUGAUGAAAGAAGUCGCGAGCUGGUCGGACUCUUUCAUCCUGAUUUGGUGAUACCCUGAAUAGGCAUCGAGGAAAGACAGGGUUUCGCACCCAGCAGUGGAAUCCACGAUUUGAUCGAUGCGAGGCAGAGGGUAGGGAACCUUCGGACAUGCUUUGUUUAGACCAGUGUAGUCUACACACAUCCGCCAUUUCCCUCCUUUCUUUCUCACAAGCGCAGGGUUGGCAAGCCAUUCAGGAUGGAAUACCUCUUUGAUGAACCCUGCCGCCAUUAGCUUGUGGAUCUCCUCGCCUAUGGCUCUGCGCUUUUCUUCGUCGAAUCGGCGCAGAGCCUGCUUGACGGGUCGGGCUCCGGCUCGGAUAUCCAGCGAGUGCUCGGCGACAUCCCUCGGUAUGCCGGGCAUGUCCGAGGGACUCCACGCGAAAACGUUGGCGUUUGCGCGGAGAAAGUCGACGAGCACUGCUUCCUAUUUGGGAUCGAGCUUGGAGCCGAUCCGGAUCUGCUUGGAGGCGUCGCUGCUGGGGUCAAGGGGGACGGACUAAACCGUCUCCGCUGGCUCGAAGUUGCCGGCGUGACGCUUCACGUCUGGCACCUCCUUAGAGAGGCUUUCCAGGUCGGCGAUGAGGGCCUCGGACUCGGCGAGGGCCUCGGCGUACUCCACGCACUCCACGUCGCAUUCGAACGCGUGUUUGUACGUGGGGCCGACGGUGAUGACCCCGUUGGGGCCCGGCAUCUUGAGCUUGAGGUAGGUGUAGUUGGGGACGUGAAAGGGAAAUGUGCCCUUGGGCCAUUUCUAAGUAUUUUGGUGAUUUAGUGACUAACACAAGUGCUUAAAUGUAAAAUGGUGGACAAAGUACAAACCAAGGAUAAAGGUAUGUUUCUCAGACUUAGUAAAUUGUUUUAUGGACUAAUGUAUUGUGUCUAAGUGCUGGAAACAGGAAAAAUCCAAUUGGAAAUGUCUUGGCUCUUGCAGCCAAGAAUCUGCCCAGUCUGGGAGCACCGGACUGUCCGGUGGUGCACCGGACAGUGUCCGGUGUGCCAGGCUGGUUCGAGCGAAGUGGCCGCUCUCGGGAAUUAACCGGCGACGUACGGCUAUAAUUCACCGGACUGUCCGGUGUGCACCGGACUGUCCAGUGAGCCAACGGUCGGCCGGGCCAACGGUCGGCAGCGCGAUCUGCGCGGGACACGUGGCCGAGCCAACGGCUAGAAGGGGGCACCGGACAUGUCCGGUGCGCCAAUGGCUCUCUGGCUGCCAACAGUCGACUGCGCCAAUUAUGGAAAGAAAUCGGGCACCAGACAUGUCCGGUGUGCACCGGACUGUCCGGUGCGCCAGUCGACAGAAGGCAAGAUUAGCCUUCCAAGAUUGCUCUCAACGGCUCCUAGCUGCCUUGGGGCUAUAAAAGGGACCCCCUAGGCGCAUGAAGGAGAACACCAAGCAUACUUACAACAUUCCUAAGCACCAAGUCAUCGAUUCCACGCAUUUGUUUCUUUGUGAUAGCAUAUAGAGCUCUUGUGGAGUUGUGAACUCAUUGGGUUGUGUUGCAAGCUCUUGUUGCGACUUGUGUGCGUGUUGUUGCUCUGAUUUGUGAGUCUUGUGUGAGUUGCUCAUCCCUCCCUUACUCCGUGAUUCUUUGUGAACAUCAAAAGUGUAAGGGCGAGAGGCUCCAAGUUGUGGAGAUUCCUCGCGAACGGGAUAAGAAAAGAAAAACAAAACACCGUGGUAUUCAAGUUGAUCAUUGGAUCACUUGAGAGGAGUUGAGUGCAACUCUCAUCCGUUGGGACGCCACAACGUGGAGUAGGCAAGCGUUGGUCUUGGCCGAACCACGGGAUAAACCAUUGUGUCAUCUCUGUGAUUGUUCUAUUGUGGUUAUUGUGUUUUGCUAAGACAUCUCUUUAGCCACUUGGCAAUUAUUGUGCUAACGAUUAACCAAGUUUUGUGGCUUAAGUUUUCAAGUUUCACAGGAUCACCUAUUCACCCCCCCCCCCUCUAGGUGCUCUCAAUUGGUAUCAGAGCCGUUCUCUUCACAAAGGGACUAAUCGCCCGAAGAGAUGGAUCCUAAGGGGAAGGGUAUCGUGAUCAACGACAAAGAGAAGGAAUCCUUCGUCAACGAGCCGAAGGACGACAAGCCUACCGACUCCGGCUCGGGCCAUAGACGAAAAGAUGGGAAGAAGAAGAAGACGAGGCGCAUCAAGGAGAUCGUCUACUACGACGACAGCGAUGAGUCUACUUCUUCCCAAAAGGACGAUGACCACAACGACUACGAGAGAAGGAAACCGGUUAAUUCGAACUUUUCUUUUGACUACUCUCGUAUUCCACAAAGUUCAAAUUCACAUUUGCUCUCCAUUCCACUCGGCAAGCCUCCACACUUUGAUGGAGAGGACUACGGAUUUUGGAGCCAUAAAAUGCGUAGUCACCUAUUUUCUCUCCAUCCUAGUAUAUGGGAGAUUGUAGAGAGUGGAAUGCACUUUGAUAGUACGGAUAGUCCUGUAUUCAUUAAUGAGCAAAUACAUAAGAAUGCACAAGCUACUACUGUUCUUCUAGCUUCAUUGUGCAGGAAUGAAUACCACAAAGUGAGCGGCUUGGAUAACGCCAAGCAGAUCUGGGACACCCUCAAGAUUUCACAUGAGGGGAACGACGUCACCUUGCUCACCAAGAUGGAGUUGGUGGAGGGCGAGCUUGGACGAUUCGCGAUGAUAAGGGGCGAGGAGCCAACACAAACAUACAACCGGCUCAAGACCCUUAUCAACAAAAUAAGGAGCUACGGAAGCACGCGAUGGACGGACCACGACGUCGUCCGACUGAUGCUAAGGUCCUUUACCGUUCUUGAUCCUCAUUUGGUGAAUAAUAUUCGUGAGAAUCCCAGGUACACCAAAAUAUCGCCCGAAGAAGUCCUUGGAAAAUUCGUUAGCGGGCGAAUGAUGAUCAAGGAGGCGAGGUACGUGGACGACGCCUUGAAUGGUCCUAUCAACGAGCCGCAACCCCUUGCUCUCAAGGCAACAAGAAGCAAGGAGGCGCUACCUAGCAAGGUGGCACAAAUUGAGGCGGCCGGACUUAAUGAUGAAGAGAUGGCCCUCAUCAUCAAAAGAUUCAAGACGGCGCUUAAAGGUCGCAAGGGACAGCCAAACAAGACCAAAGCCAAGGGGAAGCGCUCAUGCUUCAAAUGCGGUAAGCUUGGUCAUUUUAUUGCUAACUGUCCCGACAAUGAUAGUGAUCAGGACCAAGGGAACAAGAGGGAGAAGAAGAAGAAUUAUAAGAAGGCAAAGGGCGAGGCUCAUCUUGGCAAGGAAUGGGAUUCGGACUGCUCCUCGUCCGACUCCGACAAUGAAGGACUCGCCGCCACCGCCUUCAACAAGUCAUCCCUCUUCCCCAACGAGCGUCACACAUGCCUUAUGGCAAGGGAGAAGAAGGUAUGUACUCGAGACUCUACUUAUGCUUCUUCAAGUGAAGACGAAUCUAGUGAUGAGGAAAUAGAUUACUCUAGCUUGUUCAAGGGAUUGGAUAGAAAUAAAAUUGAUAAAAUCAAUGAAUUGAUUGAUGCCUUGAAUGAAAAGGAUAGGCUUUUAGAAAAGCAAGAGGAUUUGUUGUAUGAUGAACAUGACAAAUUUGUAGAGGCACAAAAAUCCUAUGCUUUAGAAGUUAAAAGAAAUGAAAUGCUUUCUUAUGAACUAUCUACGUGUCAUGAAACCAUUUCUACUUUAUAAAGUGUUAACAAUGAUUUAAAUGCUAAAUUAGAAGUAUCAAAUAAAUCUAAUUCUUGUGUAGAACAUCUUAUGAUUUGCACUAGGUGUAAGGAUUUUGAUAUUGAUGGCUGUAAUGAACACCUAGUUUCAAUUUCGAGAUUAAAUGAUGAAGUAGCUAGUCUUAAUGCCCAACUUAAGACUAGCAAAAGUGAUUUCGAUAAGCUAAAGUUUGCAAGGGAUGCCUACACGAUUGGUAGACACCCCUCAAUUAAGGAUGGACUUGGCUUCAAGAGGGAAGCCAAGGACUUAACAAGCCAUAAGGCUCCCAUCUCCGCCAAGGAGAAAGGGAAGGCCCCUAUGGCAAGUAGCACUAAAAGGAACCAUGCUUUUAUGUACAACGAUAGAAGACAGUCUCAUAGGAAUUGCAAUGCUUUUGAUUCACAUGACUCGUAUGCUAUGUUUGCUCCUAGUUCUUCCUAUAUGCAUGGUAGGGGUAUGCCUAGAAAAAAUGUUCAUCAUGUGACUAGAAAGAAUUUUGCUCAUGCUUCUAGGAAAGUUAUAAAUGGUCCCUCUACAAUUUAUCAUGCUUUAAAUGCUUCCUUUGCUAUUUGUAGAAAGGAUAGGAAGGUAGUUGCUAGGAAGUUAGGGGCAAAAUGCAAGGGUGAUAAAACUUGCAUUUGGGUCCCUAAGGAAAUUGUGACUAACCUUGUAGGACCCAACAAGAGUUGGGUACCUAAGACCCAAGCCUAAAUUUGCCUUGCAGGUUUAUGCAUCCGGGGGUUCAAGCUGGAUUAUCGACAGCGGAUGCACAAACCAUAUGACGGGGGAGAAGAAGAUGUUCACCUCCUACGUCAAGAAUAAGGAUUCCCAAGAUUCAAUCAUAUUCGGUGAUGGGAACCAAGGCAAGGUGAAAGGUUUAGGCAAGAUUGCAAUAUCAAAUGAGCAUUCUAUCUCUAAUGUGUUUUUAGUGGAGAGUCUUGGAUAUAAUUUACUAUCUGUUAGUCAAUUAUGUAAUAUGGGAUAUAACUGUUUAUUUACAAAUAUAGAUGUGUCUGUCUUUAGAAGAUGUGAUGGUUCACUAGCUUUUAAGGGUGUACUAGACGGCAAACUUUACUUAGUUGAUUUUGCAAAAGAAGAGGCCGGUCUAGAUGCAUGCUUAUUGGCUAAGACUUGCAUGGGCUGGUUGUGGCAUCGCCGCUUAGCACAUGUGGGGAUGAAGAACCUCCACAAGCUUCUAAAGGGAGAACACGUGAUAGGUCUAACCAAUGUUCAUUUCGAAAAAGAUAGACCUUGUGCAGCUUGUCAAGCAGGCAAACAAGUGGGAGGAGCACAUCACAGUAAGAAUGUAAUGACCACGUCAAGACCUCUGGAGCUGCUGCAUAUGGACCUCUUCGGACUCGUCGCCUAUCUGAGCAUAGGAGGAAGUAAGUAUGGUCUAGUUAUUGUUGAUGACUUUUCCCGCUUCACUUGGGUGUUCUUUUUGCAGGAUAAGUCUGAAACCCAAGGGACCCUCAAGCGCUUCCUCAGGAGAGCUCAAAAUGAGUUUGAGCUCAAAGUGAAGAAGAUAAGGAGCGACAACGGGUCCGAAUUCAAGAAUCUUCAAGUGGAGGAGUUCCUUGAGGAGGAGGGGAUCAAGCACGAGUUCUCCGCUCCCUACACACCUCAGCAAAAUGGUGUGGUAGAGAGGAAGAACAGGACGCUCAUUGAUAUGGCGAGGACUAUGCUUGGAGAAUUCAAGACCCCCGAGUGCUUUUGGUCGGAAGCCGUGAACACGGCUUGCCACGCCAUCAACAGGGUCUACCUUCACCGCCUCCUCAAGAAGACUUCAUAUGAGCUGCUGACUGGUAACAAACCCAAUGUAUCGUACUUUCGUGUUUUUGGGAGUAAAUGCUACAUUCUAGUGAAGAAGGGUAGGAAUUCCAAAUUUGCUCCCAAAGCUGUAGAAGGGUUUUUAUUAGGUUAUGAUUCAAAUACAAAGGCGUAUAGGGUCUUCAACAAAUCAUCGGGUUUGGUUGAAGUCUCUAGCAACGUUGUAUUUGAUGAGACUAAUGGCUCUCCAAGAGAGCAAGUUGUUGAUCUUGAUGAUGUAGAUGAAGAAGACGUUCCAACGGCCGCGAUACGCACCAUGGCGAUUGGAGAGGUGCGACCACAGGAACAAAAUAAGCGAGAUCAACCUUCUUCCGCAACUAUGGUGCAUCCCCCAACUCAAGACGAUGAACAGGUUCAUCAACAGGAGGCGUGUGAUCAAGGGGGAGCACAAGAUGAUCAUGUGAUGGAGGAAGAAGCGCAAUCGGCACCUCCAACCCAAGUUCGAGCGAUGAUUCAAAGGGAUCAUCCCGUCGACCAAAUUCUGGGUGAUAUUAGCAAGAGAGUAACUACUCGAUCCCGAUUAGUUAAUUUUUGUGAGCAUUACUUCUUUGUCUCUUCUAUUGAGCCUUUCAGGGUAGAAGAGGCCUUGCUAGAUUCGGACUGGGUGUUGGCCAUGCAAGAGGAGCUCAACAACUUUAAGCGCAAUGAAGUUUGGACACUAGUGCCUCGUCCCAAGCAAAAUAUUGUGGGAACCAAGUGGGUGUUCCGCAACAAACAGGACGAGCACGGGGUGGUGACGAGGAACAAGGCUCGACUUGUGGCAAAAGGUUAUGCCCAAGUCGCAGGUUUGGACUUUGAGGAGACGUUUGCUCCUGUGGCUAGGCUAGAAUCAAUUCGUAUUUUGCUAGCAUAUGCCGCUCACCAUUCUUUCAGGUUGUACCAAAUGGAUGUGAAGAGCGCUUUCCUCAACGGGCCGAUCAAGGAGGAAGUGUACGUGGAGCAACCCCCUGGCUUCGAGGAUGAACGGUACCCCGACCACGUGUGUAAGCUCUCUAAGGCGCUCUAUGGACUUAAGCAAGCCCCAAGAGCAUGGUAUGAAUGCCUUAGAGACUUUCUAAUUGCUAAUGCUUUCAAGGUUGGGAAAGCCGAUCCAACUCUUUUCACUAAGACUUGUGAUGGUGAUCUUUUUGUGUGCCAAAUUUAUGUCGAUGACAUAAUAUUUGGUUCUACUAAUAAAAAGUCUUGUGAAGAAUUUAGCAGGGUAAUGACGCAGAAAUUCGAGAUGUCAAUGAUGGGCGAGUUGAACUACUUCCUUGGGUUCCAAGUGAAGCAACUCAAGGACGACACCUUCAUCUUUCAAACGAAGUACACGCAAGACUUGCUGAAGCGGUUUGGGAUGAAGGACGCCAAGCCCGCAAAGACUCCGAUGGGGACCGACGGACACACCGACCUCAACAAAGGAGGUAAGUCCGUUGAUCAAAAAGCAUACCGGUCCAUGAUAGGUUCUUUGCUUUAUUUAUGUGCUAGUAGACCGGAUAUUAUGCUUAGCGUAUGCAUGUGUGCUAGAUUUCAAUCCGAUCCUAAGGAGUGUCACUUAGUGGCUGUGAAGCGAAUUCUUAGAUAUUUAGUCGCUACGCCUUGCUUCGGGAUCUGGUAUCCAAAGGGGUCUAACUUUGAUCUGAUUGGAUAUUCAGAUUCCGACUAUGCUGGAUGUAAGGUCGAUAGGAAGAGUACAUCGGGGACGUGCCAAUUCUUAGGAAGGUCCCUGGUGUCAUGGAAUUCUAAGAAACAAACUUCCGUUGCCCUAUCCACCACUGAGGCCGAGUAUGUUGCCACAGGACAGUGUUGCGCGCAACUACUUUGGAUGAGGCAAACCCUCAGGGACUUUGGCUACAAUCUGAGCAAAGUCCCACUCCUAUGUGAUAACUAGGUGAGUGCCCGUGCGUUGCAACGGGAACAUAUAAUACCGUUGAAGGAAGGGAGUAGAUGGGAGAGUGUAUCGGCUGGACAGGAAAGAAGAGCACGGAUCUGGGGAUGAUGAUAGCUGCGGCGACGUGUAAGGGAGAGUGCGGCACGAGGGUCGGGGGCAACGGACGUGAGCUACGAUGUUAGGUCGGUCAGCCAACAACCCACGCAUGCGAGAGAGACAGAACAACAUUAUAUGAAUAGUAAUUAAUAUGAUAAAAUACAUUGAUAUACAAACUCCUUUUUUUGAGAAAUGAAGCCAUAGCAAAUUGUGCCCAAUUGGACCAGUUUGAUGAGGAGCUUUACAAAGUCUGAUAAAAUAUUCCCUACGUGCAUAUAUUGUUGAUGUACUACUUAUAUUCUUCAUAGUUUUAUGACCUAUCAUAAAUUACGCUUCCCUAUUUUAUUAGAGAAAGACAACCCAUUAUCUUCCUGUAUCGGUUUACCAUAAUGCGUUCCUUUUUUAUGAUAAUUUUAAUUUCCUUGAGAAUGAAAAUAAAUACUAUAUUUUUUUGAAGUUCCAAUGUUUUUUCUAUUAUAAAAAAUAGUUUAUGUAGUCAAUAUCAACAACAUUAUUUUUUUUGUUUUUUGGUUUUCAGACCAUUUGUUUCAUUUUGAUUGUUGUGGGUAUGAUGGUUUUUACUCAUAAUAAUAGUUUGAAUGUUUGAUUGUCUUGAUGAAUGAAAUGAACGCGUUUUUGUUCGUCGUCUCCGAGCUAUAUAUCCUCGCGGAACUCUGGUCAUUGAAUCAAAUUAACCUUAAUGAAUAACUAAUGAUUUCUCUUCUUUUAACCCUCUUUUUUCCAUUAAUAACUAAACGGAUUAUUUCGAUAUAUAAAAUAUUAAUUCCAAUGGCUUUUGCUACUAUAACCUUCCCAACCACAAUUUUUUAUUCUAUCCCAAGAGACAUUUGGGACUUCAACAACCUGGAUCCAGAAAUCAAACUAAGCAUCCCAGAACAAGAGCAGCUAACACAGAUAAUUAUAGGCAUGUACUCACAGUUUCACGGAGAGCAGAUGGGUUGCUUGUUCCAAGCGCAGUCUUGAAAUGGUCAUUUGUAACAACCAUCGAGUUCAAUAUCUCUGCAUCUAUUGUAUCAUCCUCAAGAUCUAUGAUGUCCAUCUUCUCACGAAUUCAAUGAAGAGCAGCCUCAGUGCAAAGGGCAGCAAGAUCAGCACCAACGUAUCCAUGGGUAUCCUUUGAAAUGAGUUCCAAAUUAACCUGGAAAUAUUCAGAGAAUGGACAUCACGAGACGCUAGAAGAGAAGACAGAAACCAUAUUCUAAUCAGUGUGAAGUGCAAUGCAUCAAGAAUAAAUUACAGACACUUACAUCUUCAGCUAGCUUCAUGUUCUUAGUGUGAAUACGGAAACCUCAAGCCGGCCAACUUCAUCAGGAACUCCAAUGUCAAUUACUUGGUCAAACCUUCCAAAUCUUCUAAGAGCAGGAUCGAUGUUGUUUGGCCGGUUUGUAGCACCCAUAACAAUAACAUGGGAACGAGAUUUGAGUCCAUCCAUAAGAGCCAGUAGCUGUGAAACAAUACGACGUUCUACUUCUCCAUUGGUCUUUUCUCUCUUGGGUGCAAUUGAAUCAUUUUCAUCAAUGAAAAUGAUAGAUGGAGCACCCAUAACAAUUAUCUGCCCAACAUAAAAAAUACUCGACUCCCAUGAACUGCAUGAUUCAAUGCAUACGAAGCAACUGUCUAUCAAACAUAAAAAAUACUCGACUCCCAUGAAAUGAUCUACUGUGGCAGUACAUCCUAAGAGGUCCAGACUCAAAAAAUGUUUAUAGUAAACAAAGACAAAAGGGAAAUAAGUACCAACCUCUAAAGGAGUAAGAGGACACUUUUCAUCCCUUCUGUUUGCCUCAGGGUUUAUCACUCGACCAUGCUGACGAAACUUACCUCUCCAUCUCUUUUCACGAGCAUGGUCCCUUUCAGUUUUAUCCCUCCAACGACCAUCAUAUGUACACCACAAAAAGGCUAUCAUAUCCUAAAACAUACAUGGUAUUAGUAAGAUGAAAAAUGUCAUAAUUGUGAACAAAUAAGAUACUUGAAACAUGUUCGAAGCGAAGAUGCACUGGAACAUACUUCCCUCCAGUCAACAAACUCUUUUUUGUAAAUGAAGAUCCAUCUCUGAAUUGGCAUAUCUAUAAAGCUCCAUCUAACUGAAUUGGAAUAUCUAGUCUAGAAAGCUAUAAAAUUACUCUAACUGAACACUCAACGUCUAAAACAGACUCCAUCAUACUGCACACAAAAAAUCGAGUGUACAACAACAAAUGUAUCGGCCUGAUAGAAAACAUGAUUGAAUUUCAUGCUUACAUGUGUACUAACUAUUUCACAACUCUUGUAAGCAAUGACAUAGGGCGAAAUCAUGCAAAUCACCAAACCAAAUCACAGAUCUAGGCAUUUUAGGAAAAUACAUGAAAAGCAGAGCUACCUUUCCACGAUUCAAGCCUUCUUCUGCGGUUGGACUGCAGCCUCCACCCGCCAACGACGACGGCGACUCAGGAAAGCUCCUCCAUCGCUGGUGCCAACCUUCUAUCGAAUGACCGGAUCCAGGACGGUGUCCAAAUCGUCCACGCCCCCGCGUGCCGAGAUUGUUGGAGCUACCCCUUCCCUCGCAGCCACGCUGACGCCGGACACCAAGUAACCGCCUCCUCCAUGCUCACCAGUUCACUGACAAUGCGGGCAAUGGUAAAGGAAGAGCAACAACUGGAUAUGAGGAGUGGCCGCUCACACCACAUUUGGGGCGAGAUCGAGAUGGGAUUAAAGGGAGGGGGCGGACCUUGGCGGCGAUCUUGGACGGGAGGGCCCGGGUAACGCGCGAGCGGGGCAGGGGGGAGACGACGGUCGUCUCAGCGAUGUGGAGGAUGGACGCGGUGUCUGUCGGAGCAGGGUUGGGGGAGCGGGCAUCGCGAGCGGUGCGGACGCGACGUCGAUGUCGGGAGGACGGGGCGUGGCACGCGGGCACCUGCUGCCACAGCCUCCCGCGCAUGCCGAAUAGUAUCGCCACCGCGUCCGACGCCAACCCGCCUGCGGGACGUGCCACCGCGUUCAUCGCGCCGAAGCACGCCGCCGCGGCGCCCGCAACCUCCAUGGGAGGUGGAAACGUUUCCGGAAGAAGUUGGCGGCCACGUUCUCCAUGAUGAGCUCGACGCCAUAGCAGUAGCCGUAGGUGAGCGCGAGCACCCACGCGCGGUAGUUGCCGACCCCUCCGGGCACCACCUUCCACAAGCUAUUGCCGGUCUUGGCUCCGGCGCCGACGCCGCGCGGGUGGUCGUUGGGGAAGGCGAGGACGGCGAGGCCCGUGGUGAUGAGGAGCGUGCAGGGGAGGAGGUAGGUGACGCGCCAGGCGACGGUGAUGGGCACGCCGAGACGGAGGACGAGCUCGUACGCGAGCGGCAUGACGAGCUACGCCGCGACGCUGACGACGUUGGUCCAGCCGGCCGUGACGGCGUUGGCGAGCCCCACGACAGAGGGCGCGAAGAUGCCUGACAUCUAGUGCUGGUUGGCGACGAAGUUGGCGAGGGAGAGGCCCGCCACGAAGCGCAGCGCGACGAACCCCGCGGGCGACGACGCGGUGACCGAGACGGCGAGCGCGGCCAGGAGGCUGGCGAACCCCGACGCGCGGCGCGGGCCGAGGAGGUCGCAUGCGGGCCCCAUGGCGAGCCUGCCUACCAGCGUGGCGGAGAGGGAGCCCACUGCGGCGGCGGGGGCGUCCGAGGGCAUGAGCACGAGUGCCGGUCGCAGCGCAGGGAGGAUGGGCGGGGCGGCAAAGGCCGCGAAGAAGCAGACGAAGAGGGAGAGCCAGGCAAGGUGGAACGCCUGCGUGUGCGGCGACAGCAGUGAUAGAGGGCGCAGAUCCGUCGCCCUGAACUCGUCAUCGACGCCGCACUCCGCCUCAGCGCCGCCGACGCCAUACCAGCAGUUCUCUUCGUCGUCGGCCAGCUGCAGCUUUUUCCCCAUCGCGACCAUAGUUAGCUAGCUACCUAGUGACGUCUGCCUGGCCUCGUGGCUGCGAGGAAGAGAUCUACCACAGCCAAGCAGAGAAUGGAUCCGUGGCGGUGUGAAGCAUUCUAGGUGAGGGAGGCGGAGACAGAAGAGAGACGGCAUGUGGUGGGCGGGCGGUUCGCGCGGCGUGAUUCGUCACGGGCGUUGCGGGAGGGAAUUCACAGCGGGCGGGCGGUCGUGCGGGCGGGGUUUGCGGCGGGCGUAUCGCGGCGGGUGGGGGUCACGGCGUGCGGAUUGAUCGGGCGGGGGCGGUCUACAAUGUGGUCUUAAUAGUUAGUACAGAUGAGAGUGCUAUCCGCAUGGCGGAAAAUCCUGUUGAACACAGCCGCACAAAGCACAUAGACAUCCGGCAUCACUUUUUGAGAGACCACCAGCAAAAGGGAGAUAUCGAAGUGUUUCAUGUUAGCACCGAGAACCAGCUAGCCGAUAUCUUUACCAAGCCUCUAGAUGAGAAGACCUUUUGCAGGUUGCGUAGUGAGCUAAAUGUCUUAGAUUUGCGGAACUUGGAUUGAUUUAUAGCAUACAUGUGUAUAUGCCUUUGAUCAUGUUCCUUAUGCAUUUUGUUGCUUAAUAAUGGUGCUCAAGUUGUACAAACACUCCCUGGACCUCACAAGUCCGUUGCAAAGUGAUGCACAUGUUUAGGGGGAGAUGUGUUACAACUUGACCCUUUGAGACUAACCAUGUGCUUGAGUUUGCUUGUUUUAGUCUCAAAGGAGGUUUGGAAGGGAAAAGGUGGACUUGGACCAUGAAAGACUUCCACUGCACUCCGAUGAGAGGGUAACUUAUUCCAAGUUCAUCUCAUGUACUCUUAUUCCCUUUGUAUUCUUAUUGAAGCUUUUGGUGAGGCAAUGGGGUUCUCGGGCCAAGAUUGAUCCCGUUUUGGUGCUUGAUGCCAAAGGGGGAGAAAAUAAAGGCCAAAGCGAUAAAUGGAUCAGCUACCACUUGAGUAAUUUUGAAAAUGGUAGAUUAGAGCUUUUGGUUUGUCAAAACUCUAUUAUUGUCUCUUGUGUCAAAAGUUGGCCUCUUAUGGGGAGAAGUGUCGAUUAUGGGAAAAAGGGGGAGUUUUGAAAUCCUUGAUCAAAUUUCUUUGGAAAACCUCUCUUUAUGUAUCUACAAGUGGAUUUGACUUAGAGAUAGGAAUUUGAGUUUGAUUUGCAAAAACAAACCAAGUGGUGGCAAAGGGUGAUUCAUAUAUGUCAAAAUUGAAUCAAACAAUUUGAGUUCUUAUUUGAAUUGGUUUUGUAUUUGUUCUACUUGCUUUAUAUUGUGUUGGCAUAAAUCACCAAAAAGGGGGAGAUUGAAAGGGAAAUGUGCCCUUGAGCCAUUUCUAAGUAUUUUGGUGAUUUAGUGACUAACACAAGUGCUUAAAUGUAAAAUGGUGGACAAAGUACAAACCAAGGAUAAAGGUAUGUUUCUCAGACUUAGUACAUUGUUUUAUGGACUAAUGUAUUGUGUCUAAGUGCUGGAAACAGGAAAAAUCCAAUUGGAAAUGUCUUGGCUCGAGCAGCCAAGAAUCUGCCCAGUCUGGGAGCACCGAACUGUCCGGUGGUGCACCGGACAGUGUCCGGUGCGCCAGGCUGGUUCGAGCGAAGUGGCCGCUCUCGGGAAUUAACCGGCGACGUACGGCUAUAAUUCACCGGACUGUCCGGUGUGCACCGGACUGUCCGGUGAGCCAACGGUCGGCCGGGCCAACGGUCGGCAGCGCGAUCUGCGCGGGACACGUGGCCGAGCCAACGGCUAGAAGGGGGCACCGGACAUGUCCGGUGUGCACCGGACAUGUCCGGUGCGCCAACGGCUCUCUGGCUGCCAACGGUCGGCUGCGCCAAUUAUGGAAAGAAAUCGGGCACCGGACAUGUCCGGUGUGCACCGGACUGUCAGGUGCGCCAGUCGACAGAAGGCAAGAUUAGCCUUCCAAGAUUGCUCUCAACGGCUCCUAGCUGCCUUGGGGCUAUAAAAGGGACCCCUAGGCGCAUGAAGGAGAACACCAAGCAUACUUACAACAUUCCUAAGCACCAAGUCAUCGAUUUCGCGCAUUUGUUUCUUUGUGAUAGCAUAUAGAGCUCUUGUGGAGUUGUGAACUCAUUGGGUUGUGUUGCGAGCUCUUGUUGCGACUUGUGUGCGUGUUGUUGCUCUGAUUUGUGAGUCUUGUGUGAGUUGCUCAUCCCUCCCUUACUCCGUGAUUCUUUGUGAACAUCAAAAGUGUAAGGGCGAGAGGCUCCAAGUUGUGGAGAUUCCUCGCGAACGGGAUAAGAAAAGAAAAGCAAAACACCGUGGUAUUCAAGUUGAUCAUUGGAUCACUUGAGAGGAGUUGAGUGCAACUCUCGUCCGUUGGGACGCCACAACGUGGAGUAGGCAAGCGUUGGUCUUGGCCGAACCAGGGGAUAAACCACUGUGUCAUCUCUGUGAUUGUUCUAUUGUGGUUAUUGUGUUUUGCUAAGACAUCUCUUUAGCCACUUGGCAAUUAUUGUGCUAACGAUUAACCAAGUUUUGUGGCUUAAGUUUUCAAGUUUCACAGGAUCACCUAUUCACCCCCCCUCUAGGUGCUCUCAGGACGGCCAUGAACUUCGCGUAGCAUGGCCUCCCCAGUACCGCGUGGUAGGUUCCUCGGAACCUGACCACCUCGAACGUAAGGGUCUCCCUUCGGAAGUUGGAGGGCGUUCCGAAGCAGACAGGAAGGUCGAGUUGUCCGAGGGGCUAGACGCGCUUCCUGGGGAUGAUCCCGUGGAAAGGCGCAGCGCCUGCCCAGACCGAGGACAGAUCGACACGCAAGAGCCCGAGGGUCUCGGCGUAGAUGAUGUUGAGGCUGCUGCCUCCGUCCAUGAGGACCUUGGUGAGCCUGACGUCGCCGAUGACGGGGUCGACAACGAGCGGGUAUUUCCCCGGGCUCGGCACGUGAUCGGGGUGGUCGGCUUGGUCGAAGGUGAUGGGCUUGUCGGACCAGUCUAGGUAGACUGGCGCCGCCACCUUCACCGAACAGACCUCCCGACGCUCUUUCUUGCGGCGCCGAGCCGAGGCGUUCGCCGCUUGCCCACCGUAUAUCAUGAAGCAGUCGCGGACCUCGGGGAAUUCUCCUGCCUGGUGAUCUUCCUUCUUGUCGUCGUCACGAGCCCUGCCACCCUCCGCGGGUGGCCCGGCCCUGUGGAAGUGGCGCCGAAGCGUAGCGCACUCCUCAAGGGUGUGCUUGAUGGGCCCCUGAUGAUAGGGGCACGGCUCCUUGAGCAUCUUGUCGAAGAGGUUGGCACCUCCGGGGGGUUUCCGAGGGUUCUUGUACUCGGCGGCGGCGACAAGGUCCGCGUCGGUGGCGUCGCGUUUCGCUUGCGACUUCUUCUUGCCCUUCUUCUUGGUGCCGCGCUGAGUUGACGCCUCAGGGGCAUCUUCCGGUGGGCGGCCCUGGGGCUGCUUGUCCUUCCGGAAGAUAGCCUCAACCGCCUCCUGGCCAGAGGCAAACUUGGUGGCGAUGUCCAUCAGCUCGCUCGCCCUGGUGGGGGUCUUGCGACCCAGCUUGCUCACCAGGUCGCGGCAGGUGGUGCCGGCGAGGAACGCGCCGAUGACAUCUGAAUCGAUGAUGUUGGGCAGCUCGGUGCGCUGCUUCGAGAAUCGCCGGAUGUAGUCCCGGAGAGACUCUCCUGGCUACUGUCGGUAGCUUCGGAGGUCCCAGGAAUUUCCGGGGUGCACGUACGUGCCCUGGAAAUUGCCGGCGAAGGCUUGGACCAGGUCGUCCCAGUUGGAGAUCUGCCCCGGAGGCAGGUGCUCCAACCAGGCGCGAGCGGUGUCGGAGAGGAACAGGGGGAGGUUGCGGAUAAUGAGGUUGUCAUCGUCCGUUCCACCCAGUUGGCAGGCCAGCCGGUAGUCCGCGAGCCACAGUUCCGGUCUCGUCUCCCCCGAGUACUUUGUGAUAGUAGUCGGGGGUCGGAACCGGGUCGGGAACGGCGCCCGUCGUAUGGCACGGCUGAAGGCCUGUGGACCGGGUGGUUCGGGCGAGGGACUCUGAUCCUCCCCGCUGUCGUAGCGUCCUCCACGCCUGGGGUGGUAGCCUCGGCGCACCCUCUCGUCGAGGUGGGCCCGACGGUCGCGGUGAUGGUGCUCGUUGCCGAGGCGACCCGGGGCCGCAGGCGCUGUGUUGCGCGUGCGCCCGGUGUGGACCGAGGCUUCCCACAUGAAUCGGGAAGUCGCGGCACGAUGUUCCGAGGGGUACCCCUGCCUCCGGGAGGCGGAGCUCUCGGCCCGUCGGACCGCGGCGCCCUCCAGGAGAUUCUUGAGCUCUCCCUGGAUUCGCCGCCCCUUGGUGGUUGAUGGCUCUGGCAUCGCACGGAGAAGCAUUGCUGCUGCAGCCAGGUUCUGGCCGACCCCACUGGAAGAGGGUGGCGGCCUCAUCCUAACAUCGUCGGCGAUGCGGUGCUGGAUACCCUGGGGUAGAUGGCGCACUUCUCCGGACGGAGGUUGGCCCGCCCAUUCCUGCCCGACGUCCCGGCGGAUCGGCUCAAGUGCUCCUGCUCCCUCGUCGAGUCUGGCCUGCACCCCGCGGAUUUGCUCGAGCUGUGGGUCAUGACCCCCCGCCGGAACGGGGACCACAGCUAGCUCCCGUAGGAUGUCAACGCGUGGCACAGGCCUAGGGAGAUCCCCGUUCUCCGGCAUACCGAGAUGGUUGCCCUCGGAGGGACCCCCUAGAUCGACGUGGAAACAUUCAUGACUUGGGCCGCAGUCCUCGUCGCCGAGGCUGCGGCUACCGUCGGAACAGUCGGAAAGGCAGUAGUCGCAUGCGGUCAUGAAGUCCCGCAUGACACUGGGGUUGCCAAGUCCAGAGAAAUCCCAACAGAAGUCGGGCUCGUCAUCUUCCUCGGACCCCGAGGGCCCAUAGGUCGAGACGUCCGUCAGCCGGUCCUAGGGUGACCACAUACGAAACCCCAGAGGGUUUGGACUCGCCUCUACGAGAGUGUCCGCCAAAGCGAAGUCGCUUGGCGGGUCGAGGCUGAAUCCAAUGGGCGUGAGAUGGGAACCGGUGGGUACCUCUUGGUCGACGGGCGGUGACGAAGUCACGUCAGGGACUGACUGCACCGUCGUCCCAGGUACGAGGGUGACGCCCAGCAAGCCUUUCGCGAGCGUGCUGGCGUCGUCCGUUUGCUCGGAAUUGGCGUGUCGCGGGGAGACGGCGCUCGUCUUCGUCUCAAGCGCAAGGUCGAUGCCCGACGCGCCCCCUGUUGGGGCGCCAGCGCCGUCGACUUGCUCGACAGCCGACGGGGGGCCGCCUCCUGCUUGGCCUUGGUUGCCCCGCCUCCUCCUCCGUCGGCGGGGGAGAGGGCGGGCUGAGCUUGAAUGUUGUUCUUCCCCCACGCGGGGAAGACGUCGUCGAUUCCGCCGCCGGCGGGCGGGCUGUCGGCCGCCAUGGUCGCUGUCGCACGGCGGGGGAAGGAGUAUCAUGUCGUAGCUGCCGUCAAGGGACAUGAACUCAAGACUCCCGAAACUGAGCACCGUCCCGGGCUGGAAAGGUUGCUGGAGACUGCCCAUCUGGAGCUUGACGGGAAGCUGUUCGUCAACACGCAGCAGGCCCCUACCUGGCGCGCCAACUGUCGGCGUUUCGAGACCGGGGGUCCCUGGGCUGACGAGUAAAAUGUCGCCGCGUGCCCUAGCCCAGAUGGGUCGGCGCGAGGCCGAGCGCGAAGGGGGGAAGAGAGGCAGCCGGAGACGGGCGUGUGAGAGGUGGAAAUCCUGCGGCCUUCGUGUUCAUCCCGCGCCCAGGUCGGGUGCGCUUGCAGUAGGGGGUUACAAGCGUCCACGCGGGAGGGGGAGCGAGCGGCCUCACGCGAGCGCCUGUCCCGUCCUCUUCCCCGCGCGGCCGACCCUCUGUAAGAGGACCCUGGUCCUUCCUUUUAUAGGCGUAAGGAGAGGAUCCAGGUGUACAAUGGGGGGUGUAGCAGAGUGCUACGUGUCUAGCGGAGGAGAGCUAGCGCCCUAAGUACAUGCCGUCGUGGCAGCUGGAGAGGUUUUGGCACCCGGUUCGUGUGGUGUCGUGGCCGUCGGAGGAGCGCUGGAGCCUGGCGGAAGGACAGCUGUCGGGGCUGUCGAGUCCUUGCUGACGUCCUCUUGCUUCUGUAAGGGGGCUGAGAGCCGCCGUCGUCACAGAGCGUGCGGGGCGCCAUCAUUGCCUAUCUGGCGGAGCGAGCCAGAUGGGACACCGGUCUUGUUCCCCGUAGCCUGAGUCAGCUUCGGGUAGGGUAAUGAUGGCGCCUCCUGUCGACGUGGUCGGUCCGCGCCCUAGGUUGGGCGAUGUGGAGGCUCCUCCGAGGUCGAGGUCGAGUCUGUCUUCCGUGGCCGUGGUCGAGUCCGAGCCCCUGGGUCGGGCGAGGCGGAGACCGUCGGCUGAGGCCAGGGCUGAGUCCGAGCCCUGGGGUCGGGCGAAGCGGAGUUCGUCGUCUUCUAGGGCUGAGCCCAAGUCCAAGCCCUGGGUCGGACGGAGCGGAGUUCGUCGUCUUCCGGGGCUGAGCCCGAGUCCGAGCCCUGGGUCAGGCGGAGUGGAGUUCGCCGUCUUCCGGGGCUGAGCCCGAGUCCGAGCCAUGGGUCGGGCGGAGCGGAGUUCGCCGUCUUCCGGGGCUGAGCCCGAGUCCGAGCCCUGGGUCGGGCGGAGCGGAGUUCGUCGUCUUCCGGGGCUGAGCCCGAGUCCGAGCCCUGGGUCGGGCGAAGCGGAGCUUCCUAUGGUGCUUGAGGUCGGGCCUGACUGCCUGUCAGCCUCACUCUGUCGAGCGGCACAGCAGUCGGAGCGGCGCAGGCGGCGCUGUUCUUCUGUCAGGCCGGUCAGUGGAGCGGCGAAGUGACUGCGGUCACUUCGGCUCUGUCGACUGGAGGACGCGUGUCAGGAUAAAGGUGUCAGGCCACCUUUGCAUUAAAUGCUCCUGCGAUCUGGUCGGUUGGCGCGGCGAUUUGGUCAGGGUUGCUUCUUGGCGAAGACAGGGCCUCGGGCGAGCCGUAAGUAUGUUCGUCGCUGGAGGGGGCCUCGGGCGAGACGGAGAUCCUUCGGGGUCGGCUGCCCUUGUCCGAGGCUAGGCUCGGGCGAGGCGUGAUCGGGUCCCUCGAAUGGACCGAUCCCUGACUUAAUCGCACCCAUCAGGCCUUUGCAGCUUUAUGCUGAUGGGGGUUACCAGCUGAGAAUUAGGAGACUUGAGGGUACCCCUAAUUAUGGUCCCCGACAAGGGGACUUCAAGCUAAACUUCGCACCUUCGGGAAUUCUCAGAGGCGCUUCGCUAUAAUUCACCGGACUGUCCGGUGCUCCAGGGGAGAGCGACUCUGAACUCGCCAGCUUCGGAUUUCCGCUUCGCUAUAAUUCACCGGACAUGUCCGGUGCACACCGGACUGUCCGGUAAGCCAGCGGAGCAACGGCUAUUCCGCGCCAACGGUCACCUGCUACAGCAUUUGUUUGAGAAGAAGAAGCUCACUCGGUCCGAGGGACCGUUUGAGAGAGGGAAAGGGUUGAAAGAGACCCGGUCUUUGUGACAACCUCAACGGGGAGUAUGUUUGCAAGAACCGAACCUCGGUAAAACAAAUCUGUGUGUCACACUCUUUAUUCGCUUGCGAUUUGUUUUGCGCCCUCUCUCGGACUCAUUAUUAUUUCUAACGCUAACCCGGCUUGUAGUGUGAUUAACUUUGUAAAUUUCAGUUUCGCCCUAUUCACCCCCCUCUAGGUGACUUUCAUAGAGGAGGACGACGGCUUAGGGGACGACGGCGGCGUAGGGGACUCGUAGCAGGGGUCACGACUUAGGUUGUCUCCAGCAACAUCCUCUAAAUUUCGUUCCCUAAAGGAAUAUUCUCUGUCCUUUACAGCACACUCUAAAAAAUUAUGUCCUCUAUAUCUUCUCAAUCUCCAACAACUUCCCCUAAAUUCGGUACUCUAAAACUACAGCAGACUUUCUUUUCUCGUUUAUUUAGUUUUUAUUUGUUUUCUUUUCACCUUUUUAUUAUAAAAGAUUUAACACCUUAAUUUAUGAAAGAAAAACCUUGUCCAAAAAAAAUUCAUAGCCAAAUUAUUCAUCUUUCAAUAGUAGCAUUAACAAAUUAUUGGAAAUUUAUGUUAUAUAAUUGUUUGUUGUCACGUUCUGUGCCAGUGUAGAUAUGCGUCGAUCGUCCAAAGAAAUACUAAACAAAGGCGGAGCAAGCUGGGCCGAUCUUCCAAAGAAAAAUAUUAAAAAAGCUGGAGAAAGAAACAAACAGCGGACAACUGCGUAUAGAGGACGACCGCUCGUGCGCUACGUUUGGCGGACGGCGAGCACCCGCUAAAUUUUAGCGGAUAUUUUACCGGCUAUUGUUGAGUGGAGCCAGGGCGGAAGAAAACGUUAUAUGUAGCGGACAGAACAAUUUACCGGCUAUUGUUGGAGACAGCCUCACGACCUCUGUUUACAAGUGGUCUGACUAAUCGCGAUUAGUUGGGUUGGUCGUCUGAAAGUGGCCGAUUAACUGGACGACUCGAUCGGACUUUCUGGUCGUCCAGAUUGUCCAAUUAAGCGUCCAAAUCGCCGAUUAGGCGUCUAAUUAGAGGGUUUACGGUCGUCCACUUGCAGCUAGAGUUUAGUAGCAAUUUACAAGCAACUAAUUAGUAAAGAUUAAAAGACAAGAUAAAUUUAUUAAACCUAAUUAAAUUUAUAUUUAAUAUUUAAUGUAACAUAAAACUUUUACAAGCAACUAACUAGUAAAGAUUAAAAGACAAGACAAAUUUAUUAAACCUAAUUAAAUUUAUAUUUAAUAUUUGAUGUGACAUAAAACUUUUAUCCGACCGGCGCGACAUGUUUGACGAGCAGUGAGCACCCCCGGCUAACGCUCGUCUCCAUGUCGUAUGGCCUCUAAAGCCGCGCUCCCCAAGAACAUCAGCUCUCGUCGACCGUCGGCAUGUUCGCCGGUGAGGGACUGUGAGGAUAAACGUGCCCGGAACUCCACUUACGUACGUAUCAUGCCACGUCGCCUAUCAGAUAGGGUCUGGACGCAUUAGGACCUGAAAGACACCCAAACCAAGUUCAUGGACCCAAAAUUGCAAAUUGAGAGUUUUUUUUUUGGGGGGGGGGGGGGGGGGGGGGGGGGGGGGUCCUCCAAGUUCAAGGAUCGCCGAUAGCUUUUUCAAGUUAAUAUCAUUAUUAGUGCCGGCUUUUAGCUUUUUUUUUUUUUACUCCAGACGAUACAGCCUCACGACAACUGUUGAAAAGGGAAAAUCAGUACAUGAUGGCCACAACCACAAACAUGCAAGAGCUGAAAGUAAAUUCCGAGUAGAGGUCGCUAUCUCGAGUCCACAACGGUGCCUUCUGGAAGCGCGGACAGGUGCACAAGAGGGGCAUGUGAUUUCAUGGAAGCAUUGGCACCAGUGAUCUUGGUCUCCUUUGUUCUGUUGAGCACCUUCCUCACCUCGUUUGCAAGCUCU